rnacentral:rRNA from 1 species
UACGGAGGAUGCGAGCGUUAUCCGGAUUUAUUGGGUUUAAAGGGUGCGUAGGCGGGCAUUUAAGCCGGCGGUCAAAUGUCGGGGCUCAACCCCGGCCUGCCGUCGGAACUGGGUGCCUUGAGUGGGCGAGAAGUAUGCGGAAUGCGUGGUGUAGCGGUGAAAUGCGUAGAUAUUAGGAGGAACACCAGUGGCGAAGGCGGCUUACUGGACUGUAACUGACGUUGAGGCUCGAAAGCGUGGGGAGCAAACAGG